UAAGGAAUAUUGGACAAUAGACGCAAGUCUGAUCCAGCCAUGCCGCGUGAAGGAUGACUGCCCUCUGGGUUGUAAACUUCUUUUAUAGGGGAAGAAAGUUAUUUUUUAGGAUAUUUGACGGUACCCUAUGAAUAAGCACCGGCUAACUCCGUGCCAGCAGCCGCGGUAAUACGGAGGGUGCAAGCGUUAUCCGGAUUCACUGGGUUUAAAGGGUGCGUAGGCGGGUAUGUAAGUCAGUGGUGAAAUACCGGAGCUUAACUUCGGAACUGCCAUUGAUACUAUAUAUCUUGAAUAUUGUGGAGGUAAGCGGAAUAUGUCAUGUAGCGGUGAAAUGCUUAGAGAUGACAUAGAACACCGAUUGCGAAGGCAGCUUGCUACGCAAAUAUUGACGCUGAGGCACGAAAGCGUGGGGAUCAAACAGGAUUAGAUACCCUGGUAGUCCACGCCCUAAACGAUGAUUACUCGACAUUAGCGAUACACAGUUAGUGUCUGAGCGAAAGCAUUAAGUAAUCCACCUGGGAAGUACGACCGCAAGGUUGAAACUCAAAGGAAUUGACGGGGUCAUAGCUGUUUUCCU
rnacentral:rRNA from 1 species